UUGUGCUUUUCAGAACAACGUGUUUAAAGAAUGAAUACGUUGUUUAAGCGAGCACAUAUAUUAAACAGGCAAACAAUGAUUAGGUAUCUACUGCUCAUUGCGAUUCACGCAGUAGUGAAGAUUGUUUGCUACAACU